CCUGUACUAAAGUUGGGUCAUGUGACCCGAGAGAGACACGGCUCCCCCUGAAAGAGGUGGCUGAAGAGGCGGAACAGGUCAGGCUGUCGAGAAACAGCUCCCACCCCCCCAAUUCCACCCGCUCCCUGCAAGAAAGGCAUACCAGGAUCCACACAACACCUGAAUCACAUGUCACGCCUGGCAGGCAGACGCUCAUAAUGGAGGAAAAAUUUGUUGCUGUUGUGCGAGUGCUUCAACCGGGGGCUUAAAACUGACAAGGAAUGUGCCAUGGAGUGUGUCACUUUACUCCACACUUGUCAGCAUAAUUUCUAGCUUUCCCUCUCCUCCUCACACUCUCCGCUGUGAUCACAGCACAUUCCUCCAAGCCGAAAGGCUGAGAGGCACACAGCCGGUGGCUGAGGCCCUUCACUGAUUCCAGGGGGAGGUACGGACACGGAGCACAGAGACACCCAAACGGGAGGGGGCACGCACACCCCCUCACGUACUCGCGUGCCAAGAUUCGGGUCGCAAAACUAGCAACUUCGCUGGCUGAUACCAAAUUGCAACACUGACGUUGAGCAAGGAAACGGCACGCUGUCAUUUUCUACGGCUGCUGGCUGUGAAGUUGUCAGUCCUCCAUUUUGCAGAGGCGUUGUUCUCCACGGGUUUGGAAAGGAUGCAGAAAGGACCACAGCAGGGGCUCCUGCCAUUGCACUGUUUAUAGAAAUAAUCAAUGUACAGCUACAUGAGGGCAACAAUUCUUUGCAAAACCAUUGAGGUUUGAGUGGUGACUGAUGAUUUUAAGCAACUUCCCAGCCUUAGUGCAAAAACAGUAUAGGUUGUAGUGGUUUGGAAACCUGACUUGUAGCUAUAAUAAGGCUGUAACUGUAAGGUUUAUAUCUCUAUGGGGUAGUACUGUCACACCCACUAAGCAGCCUGAAACCUUAACCUGAAAUAUUAGAGUAAAUAUCCAGCUACACUUGUUUAAAAUAGUUUCUCUUCUUUAGUUCUUCUUCUGUACUUCACCCAAAAGAUGUAUAAAUGCUUCUGUCCUUAAACAGAAACUGAAAAAAUAUCAGAAAACAAAUCUAUGACUUGGGUCGAAACUUAUAAUAAAAAUGUAUCAUAGCUUUUGGUUGCUUUAAAUUGUUUGUACUUGAAUGAAUAACCCCCCCCCCCCCCGCAAACUGCAUUGUGUUUUUAAUACCGUCUUAUUUGGGGGUGGGAUCCCAUUGUUAUGGUAACACUAGUUAUAACCUGAAUUGAACUGGCAAAAAAAUGUUCAUCACUAUUAAUUAGCCCAAGAGCUGAAAAAAUGUGUGUGAAUGCUUGUGUGUGUGCUUCUCUGUCUGUGCUUUAAUGCUGGUGAGAGAGUUUAUGGCCCCAUUUUAAUUCUAAUUAAUUUAAUUAAAUCUAAUCAAAUUAAAUAAAACCAGUGCCUUUCAACCGUU